CAUGACCCUGAUCGACGCUGUCUGUCUCUCUUGUGUAGCUUAUGUGAUCAAACAGGAGCCGCAAGUGACUUGUUUUCAUUGACAGUCGCUGUUCAGUUUGUUGCUUUGUAGCUGUCCAGCGACAUUUCACAAAAAUACACCU
rnacentral:snoRNA from 1 species